rnacentral:tRNA from 2 species
GGCGCCAUGGCCGAGCAGUCAGGCAGCAGUCUGCAAAACUGCGUACACCGGUGCGAGUCCGGUUGGCGCCUCCA